rnacentral:lncRNA from 1 species
AGAGAGAGAGAGAAUCUUCAAAGGAAAGAACUACAGCCCAUAUGAUCUUUCAAAGUUCUGAUCUAUUGGAACUUCCGAUGAGACAAUCUUUGGAGUAUCAGCUGAGAAGAGGGCUGCUUUUUUAGGGUUUGGAAGAGAGAGAGAGAGAGAGAGAGAGAGAGAGGGAAAAAGGGAAGAAAGAAGAAAAGGUUAAAUAAGUGAUGGCUCUGAAAGAAAGGCGGUAUAAUAAAAAGUUUUUACAUUCAUUCACCACAAAAGAAGAAAAAAGGAGAUAGAAAGAAAUAAUGUGGGGUCGCCAUUGGAGGAGAGGGAGGAAGCUGCCGGUAGGUGGCGACGGGUCAAACUCAAACACACAACACACACA